rnacentral:rRNA from 1 species
AUUGAACGCUGGCGGCAGGCCUAACACAUGCAAGUCGAGCGAGCGGCGGACGGGUGAGUAAUGUCUGGGAAACUGCCUGAUGGAGGGGGAUAACUACUGGAAACGGUAGCUAAUCCCGCAUACCAUCAGAUUGGCCCAGAUGGGAUUGGCUAGUAGGUGGGGUAACGGCUCACCGAGGCGACGAUCCCUAGCUGGGCUGAGAGGAUGACCAGCCACAUUGGAACUUGGACACGGGCCAGACGCCUACGUGAGGCAGCAGGGGGGAAUAUUGCACAAUGGGCGCAAGCCUGAUGCAGCCAUGCCGCGUGUGUGAAGAAGGCCUUCGGGUUGUAAAGCACUUUCAGCGGGGAGGCGUUACCCGCAGAAGAAGCACCGGCUAACUCCGUGCCAGCAGCCGCGGUAAUUC